UCCAUCAAAUGUUAUAAGAAAUAUAAGUAUUAAAAAAACGUAACUUAAUGUUACAUUUUUUUUUGUCUGCAAUUACAAUGACAGCGAGAGAAUAAGAACUUAUGAAUGUAGACAUUUUUUGCACUUUGGUCUCUACAGCAUAUGUGAACUCAUCAAAAGCGGAGGCAACAAGGAGGGGAUGGGAUUAUCAGCAGCAUCGGGGUGGAGCUUCUCGGCAACGUUGAGGAUUAUCACCCCAAACACGUGAUUCCUCCUCCGAUUUGUAACCCGGAGCACGUCCUCCACAAAACGUAGCGGCGGGCCACGUUCGCUCUCGAUGGUGCUUGUUCACUCUCUACGCCACCUCAUUGUCAAAUCUGAGUGUCUUAAAACCAUUUUCGAUGGUGUGUACAAGUCAGAUCUGAGUGUGUGAGGUGGGCGACGGUGAUGUUCAAAUCUGAGCGUGUGGAGCUAGGCAGCAAUAUUUUGUUCAGAUCUGAGUUUGUGCGAGAUGGGCAACACGGCAGUGUUCGGAUCUGAGUGUGUGCGAGAUGGGAGUGUGUUCACUCUAUUUUCAAUUUCUUUUUGCUGUUUAUAACUAACUUGGAAAGUGGUUUAAAUUCUUCUUCACUAUUAGAUUUCUUAUUGUUUUGAUUAUUUCUUUUGUGAUUGUUGUUGAUUUAUCUGGUAAAUAAGGGUGAGAAUAGAUUAGGUCGAUCUUUCUAAUUAAAAGGUUAAAUUCAAACUCUUUUAAAAAUUUA
rnacentral:lncRNA from 1 species